AAAAAAUUAUGGUCUAUGGUGGAUACCUAGGUAUGGAGAGACGAUGAAGGGCGUGGUUUUCUGCGAAAAGCUUUGGUUAAUUGAGAACAAGUUAAGACCCAAAGAUUCCCGAAUCUACUAAAGUAGAGACACUUUUACUUUGAAUUCAUAACAGUAUAAGAGGUAACCUAGUGAAAUGAAACAUCUAAGUAACUAGAGGAACAGAAAGCAAAUGCGAUUUCCUUAGUAGCGGCGAGCGAAAUGGAACCAGCCUAAACUUCUCUUCAUUUAAAAGUAGAAGGGUUAUAAAGGAUUUUUUCACUAUUAAAUUUUAGACGAAACAGCUGAAUCCUGUACCAUAGAUGGUGAGAGUCCAGUAGUUGAAAAAAAAAAAUUAAGAAAUCCCGAGUAGCAUGGAACACGUGAAACUCCGUGUGAAUUUGCGAGGACCACCUCGUAAGGCUAAAUAUUUCUUCAUAACCAAUAGUUAAUUAGUACCGUGAGGGAAUGGUGAAAAAGAACCUCGAGAGAGGAAUGAAAAGAAUAUGAAACCAUAGUCUUUCAAGCAGUAGGAGAAUUUACAGAAUUUGACUUCGUGCCUGUUGAAGAAUGAGCCGGCGAAUUUUUAAAAGAGGCUAGGUUAACUAAAAAGCUUUAGGGAGCCGUAGUGAAAACGAAUUUGAAAUAAAGUGUUUGUCUUUUUUAAAAGACCCGAACUCGGGUGAUCUAACUAUGACCAAGAUGAAUCUUGGGUAAUACUAUGUGGAGGUCUGAACCGACCAAUGUUGAAAAAUUGGCGGAUGAGUUGUAGUUAGCGGUGAAAUACCAAUCGAACUCGAAGCUAGCUGGUUCUCCCCGAAAUGCGUUGAGGCGCAGCCGUAUAAAAUAUUUUGCUUACAGGUAAAGCACUGUUUCGGUGCGGGCUACAAAAGUGGUACCAAAUCGUGGCAAACUAAGAAUGGUGAGUAUAUUCUAUGUACGAGUGAGACUGUAGGGGAUAAGCUCUAUUGUCAAAAGGGAAACAGCCCAGAUCUUCAGCUAAGGUCCCUAAGUAAUGUCUAAGUGGUAAAAGAGGUGAAAUUGCAAAAACAACCAGGAGGUUUGCUUAGAAGCAGCUAUCCUUGAAAGAGUGCGUAAUAGCCCACUGGUAAAGCGAUUUUGCGCUGAAAAUGAUCGGGACUAAGACAUUUACCGAAGCUAUGAAUCCCCAACAACUUUUAAAAAGUUGGGGUUGGUAGGGGAGCGUUCUUUUUUGAGAGAAGCAUAAAGUGCGAACUUGUGUGGACAAGAAAGAAGUGAGAAUGUCGGCUUGAGUAACGAAAACCAGAGUAAGAAUCUCUGGCCCCGGAAAUCUAAGGGUUUCUUCACUAGGCUCGUCCUUGAAGAGUGAGUCGGAUCCUAAGGUGAGACUUUUUUUAGUGUAACUAAUGGAAAACUGGUUAAUAUUCCAGUACUUUGAUUAUCGCGUAAUUAACUGACGAAAAAAUAAAGUAGUAUUGAGACAUGGAGUCUCUAGAAAGAUAAACAGAUUGCCUUUUUUAAAAUCAAAAAAUAAAAAAGUUAGUUUUCAAGACACGUUGUUCUAUAUUAUAGAAAAAUGUUACUAUAAAGUUUUUCCAAGAAAAGGUUAACAUUUCGAUCGAAUAAUCAAAACCCGUACCCUAAACCGACACAGGUAGAUUGGUAGAGAAUACCGAGGGGCGCGAUUGAACUCUCUCUAAGGAACUCGGCAAACUGGCCCCAUAACUUCGGGAGAAGGGGUACCUUUUUAAAAGGUUGCAGUGACCAGGCUCAGGCGACUGUUUACCAAAAACACAGGUCUCUGCUAAGUCGAAAGACGACGUAUAGAGGCUGACGCCUGCCCAGUGCCGGAAGGUGAAAGAAGUUGGUUCUCUUUUUAGAAAAGCUAAUAACUGAAGUCCCGGUGAACGGCGGCCGUAACUAUAACGGUCCUAAGGUAGCGAAAUUCCUUGCCAGGUAAGUUCUGGCCCGCACGAAAGGCGUAACGAUCUGAGCGCUGUCUCAGAGAGAGGUUCGGUGAAAUAGAAAUGUCUGUGAAGAUCCGGACUACCUACACCUGGACAUAAAGACCCUAUGAAGCUUGACUAUAGUUUGGAGUAGUAUUUAGGCUUUAUCUGCGCAGUAUAAGUGGGAGGUAUUGACUCCUUCAUUUCGGUGAAGGAGGAACCGAUCUUGAGAUACCACUCUGGUAUAGCUCGAAUACUAACUAGAUUCCGUUUAUAUCCGGAUCUAGGAACACUUCAGAUGGGUAGUUUGACUGGGGCGGUCACCUCCUAAAGAGUAACGGAGGUGUACUAAGGUUCCUUCAGACUGGACGGAAAUCAGUUGUAGAGCAUAAAGGUAAAAAGGAGCUUGACUGCAAGGCCUACAAGCCAAACAGGAGCGAAAGCUGGUCUUAGUGAUCCGGCGAUUCCUUGUGGACGGGUCGUCGCUCAACGGAUAAAAGUUACUCUAGGGAUAACAGGCUGAUCUUUUCCAAGAGUUCACAUCGACGAAAAGGUUUGGCACCUCGAUGUCGGCUCAUCGCAACCUGGCGCGGUAGUACGUGCCAAGGGUUGGGCUGUUCGCCCAUGAAAGCGGUACGUGAGCUGGGUUCAGAACGUCGUGAGACAGUUCGGUCCAUAUCCGGUGAAGGCGUUAGAACAUUGAGAGGAUUUUUCUUUAGUACGAGAGGACCGAGAAAAACGUACCAAGAGUGUACCAGUUCUUAUACCAAUAGGAAACGCUGGGUAGCUAUGUACGGCACGGAUAAUUGCUGAAAGCAUCUAAGUAAGAAGCCUUCCUCAAGAUGAAUGUUCUCUAUGAAGUCUUGGUUAGAUAAGCCAUUUUCUCAGUAGCAAGUGUAUCUUUGGUAACAAAACAGCUGAGCUAUAUGAAUUGACUCACUGAAUUUGACUUU
rnacentral:rRNA from 1 species